AGGGAGUUGGCGCAAUGGUUAGCGCAGGAAUCUUAUACAUUCAAGGUUAUGAGUUCGAGUCUCAUACUCCCUA
rnacentral:tRNA from 1 species